UACGUAGGGUCCGAGCGUUGUCCGGAAUUACUGGGCGUAAAGAGCUCGUAGGUGGUUUGUCGCGUUGUUCGUGAAAACUCACAGCUCAACUGUGGGCGUGCGGGCGAUACGGGCAGACUGGAGUACUGCAGGGGAGACUGGAGUUCCUGGUGUAGCGGUGGAAUGCGCAGAUAUCAGGAGGAACACCGGUGGCGAAGGCGGGUCUCUGGGCAGUAACUGACGCUGAGGAGCGAAAGCGUGGGGAGCGAACAGG
rnacentral:rRNA from 1 species